ensembl:lncRNA
AUAUCGUGCCCAUGGGUGUCCCCCACAACGUCAUCCGGGACAUUCAGUUUCGAGGUCACCUUCUGCCCGAGGUGGCGUAGCCCCCUCAUUGCCUCCCUUCCACUGCACUCGUCUCUCCCCCUGGUUCCCUACUCCUGUAGCCCAACACUGAUUUCUCCUAACUGCCCCCAUUUUCACCCCAGGGCACAGACGUAUUUCCCCUGCCUGGCUCUGUCCUCAAAGACCCCAAAUACUUCCGCUAGCCAGAAGCCUUCUAUCCCCAGCACUUUCCGGAUGAGCUGGGCCGCUUCAAGAAGAAUGGAGCCUUUGUGCCUUUUUCCUCUGAACUUCUCUCCACGCUCGCUGGUGCCGCCCGCGGACAUCGAUGUCACCCCCAAGCUCUCAGGCUUUGGUAACAUCCCUCUGACUAUGAACUCUGCCUCGUGGCCGCUGAGUGCCACCUGUGGGGCAAGGAGGAAGCGGUGAAGAACGCAGCUCCACCAAUGACACGGAGGUAGACCAUUCAUAACAGACAUCAGCCAUUUGCAUUGUUGGAGCAGGGUCCUGUUAACCAGGUUGUGCCAGAAUCACGGGGGAGGCACAGAGAGGAACUUAGGGGAUGAUCCAGAGGAGUGGGCAGUGGGCACUCAGUGGGCUUGGGACGGGAGUGACUGACCAAUCACUACAGACAUUUUCAGUAUUUUAAUAGCUAGUGAGACUCAGCUGAUUCCUGUCAGCUGAAUAUUGCCCUGUCUCUGGACAGCAAGGCACGUCUCAGGGUCCUGGGAUCUGGGACAGGUGGGGACAUUGCACCAGGCUCAGGGGAGUUUUGAGGGUCUGCGGACCUCCUCUUCCCUCCCCGUCCAGCCUUACCCUCCACCUCUGGGUGCUUCGUGAGCAGCAGGAAGCCGUAGCGCAGGGUGGUGCUGACGGUCUCGGUGCCCGCAAUGAAGAGGUUCAGCGAGGUCAGCACCAGGUUCUUCAAGUAGAACUCCGUGUUUGGGUUCUUCUCCUCCUGCAGGGAGAGGGGGCUUUAGGCCAGUCUCACCCCUCUUGCCCGUAAGGCGUGCCACCACAUCUGGCUAAUGUUUUAAAAAAUUUGUUGAAAAGACCGCCUCCUGCCACGUUGCCCAGGCUGGUCUCAAACUCCUGGGCUCCAGCAAUCCUCCUUCCUCAGCCCCACAAAGUGCUGGGAUUUCAGGUGUGAGCCAUUGCUCACAGCCCAGAUUAUUAUUUAUUUAUUUAUUUUUUGAGAUGGAAUCUUGCUAUGUCACCCAGGCUAUAGUGUAGUGGCGUGAUCUCGGCUCACUACAGCCUCCACCUCCUUAGUUCAAGAGAUUCUCCUGCCUCAGCCUUCCAAGUAGCUGGCAUUACAGGCGUGCACCACCAUGUCUGGCUAAUUUUUGUAUUUUUAGUAGAGAUGGGCUUUCACCACGUUGGCUAGGUUGGUCUCGAACUCCUGAACUCAAGUGAUCCGUCCUUCUCAGCCUCCCGAAGUGCUGGGAUUACAGGUGUGAGCCACUGUGUCUGGCCGAGGCCCAGAUUAAAAUGUUAAAAAAAAAUGCUCUUAACGCAGAUUCAUCUGAGGUUAACAUUUUAACCCACUCCCAGUGUGAUUUGUUCUAUUCUAUCAAUCAAUCAUCUAUCUAUCUUACUGUGUUUUAUGCUACUAUAACAAAAUACUACAGACUAGGU